GACGAACGCUGGCGGCGUGCUUAACACAUGCAAGUCGAACGGAAAGGCCCUGCUUUUGUGGGGUGCUCGAGUGGCGAACGGGUGAGUAACACGUGAGUAACCUGCCCUUGACUUUGGGAUAACUUCAGGAAACUGGGGCUAAUACCGGAUAGGAGCUCCUGCUGCAUGGUGGGGGUUGGAAAGUUUCGGCGGUUGGGGAUGGAAUCGCGGCUUAUCAGCUUGUUGGUGGGGUAGUGGUUUACCAAGGCUUUGACGGGUAGCCGGCCUGAGAGCGGGACCGGCCACAUUGGGCCUGAGAGACGCACCAGGCUCCUACGGGCGGCAGCGGGGGGGAAUAUUGCGGAAUGGGCGGAAGCCUGAUGCAGAAACGCCGCGUGCGGGAUGACGGCUUUCGGGUGGUAAACAGCUUUCGCCUGUGACGAAGCGUGAGUGACGGUAAUGGGUAAAGAAGCACCGGCUAGCUACGUG
rnacentral:rRNA from 1 species